GUGUAGAAACACCAGUCCUUAAGACGCUCGCUUAGCUUAUACACGAGCUAAAAUUGGAAUAAAAUAGAGAAGACUAGCAGACCCCCUAUCCUAAGAUGAUAUGUGGAUUUGGAUUUGUGACACAUUUUU
rnacentral:snRNA from 1 species